GACCUGGGGACCCCGGCAGCGGCAGCUUCUCCAUCCAGGUUUGCCCCCUUCACACAUACCUCGGGAUGCCCUGGAGGGCCUCUCAAGAGUGUACAGGAUCUCCGGAAGUAGGCAUUUAAGCAGGUACUCCGGUGUCAGUCCUGCAAGGUGAGUGUGGGACCCUGUUUUCUCUUUAGCUGCAGGGAUGCCAGAAGCCCAGUUGGAAAGCUCAGACUGCUCCCUGGGGCACUCUAAGGCCUCACCUAACUUCCUCCUAAGGGAGGGGGGUGGGAGGCCAGGGGCUGCUGCAGCAGGUAACUGUCCAUCCGGUGCCGGGGUUUAUCGAAGCUCAGAGAAGCCCUCCCUCAUGAGAAGCCCCUGGCAAUGCCCACUCUGGAUCAGGACAUAGACUCCAAGCCAGUUCUUCAGUGGAAAAUAACUUUUAUUCGUCCCAGGGAGUUGGCUAGAGUCCCCUCAGAACUUCUGAAACUGCUUCUUGGUGCCAGCAGCUUUAGUGACCUUGAGUACAUUGAAGCGCACAGUCUUGCUCAGGGGCCUGCACUCUCCCACGGUGACAAUGUCGCCAAUCUGUACAUCCCUGUGGAGUUAGACAAGUGGGGGUCUUUAAGAGGGGCCUCCUCAGUAACCCCCUUGUCCCCAGUGGCAGGCUGAGGGUCCCGCCUUGGCUCCGCCCACAUUUGCCAUUCAGGUGGUAAGAGUAACAAACCCUCCCUUUUAUCUCCCAGAUAAAAGUUUAGCAGUGUCUCCCCUUGCCCGCCCAUCCCCAGCAGUCCACACAAGCGGAGCCAGCACUCACGCCUCUGCUCUGCCCACACCCCACCAGCAGCCCUUCCGGACAGGUGUUCACCUGAAGCAGGGGGACAGGUGCACAGACAUGUUCUUGUGGCGCUUCUCAAAGCGAUUGUACUUUCGGAUGUAAUGGAGAUAGUCCCGGCGGAUGACGAUGGUCCUCUGCAUCUUCAUCUUGGUCACCACACCUGGGGAAGGGAGGUGUUAGCAGGCCAAGGGUAACCCAGCCGCUGAGUGGGGCUCCCCCAGAAGCCCCAUUUCUGGCAUCAGCCUUGCCAACUGGCUGUUCUCAGCAGUGUCCGUGGGAAUGUCUGAAGACCAUCGUGAGAAUGGACAUCAUCUGCCAGCGGCCGGUCCCAGACUCGGGAACCCAGAGCCACUUUCAACUUCUCACUCACCAGACAGGAUCCGCCCUCUGAUGGAGACGUUACCAGUGAAGGGGCAUUUCUUGUCUAUGUAGGUGCCCUCGAUGGCCUGAAAGGAUGAGAAGGCGCGGUUUGGAUUACCGGUUCCUAAACUGAACCAAGAAUGAGCCUCAGGGGCCCCAGAGGCAAUGCCCCCACAUCUGCAGUGUGUCCUGUACCUCCUUGGGCGUCUUGAAGCCUAGACCGAUGUUUUUAUAGUACCGAGGGAGUUUCUCCUUGCCAGUUUCCCCCAGCAGAACACGCUUCUUGUUUUGAAAGAUUGUAGGCUGCUUCUGGUAAGCACGCUCGGUCUGUAGGAAUCAACAAAUUUGGUGAGAUUACAGGUAAACUUCCAGCGUCCCACAAUGAACCUAAACAGUCACCCCAAACUUAAACACACUAACGUUCCAGCACGUUCCACGGCCUCCAGAGUUUGUCUUAGGCCAGAAUCAUGGCCUUUGGGCAUGCUGACUUUCCAAACACACAGGUUCAGCCACUCCAGGAUUCACACCAUACAUAAGUAACUGAGCCUGGUGGGCCAGACGCGUCAUCAAGCCAUUCGCCAAGCUGAGGCAGGAGGAUGACAAGCGCUCGUCCUGUCUGACCUACUAAGGGAUCUAAAGGCCAGAACCUGAGUCAAAACUUAAAUUUACGGCGAGGCUUUCCGGUGAGCACGAGGCCCGGGCUCAGCCCCGCUGCAGGGCUCUGUCCGGCCGGCCUCCGUCUUGGCUCCUCCGCCGGGGCCCAGCAGCCCCCGCUCGCAGAGCACUCGGGACCCCCCUCCCGCGGACGCCCCUCCCUUCAGCCAGCUCGGAAGCGACCGAGAAGCCGAGGACCAGGGCGCACCCUGCCGCGCGGGGCCCGCAGGCUCGGCGCCGGCCGCAGCUCCAACCUGAAUGUCCGCCAUCUUCCCGGCAGCCUGCGAAAGAGAGCGCGGGGCGACUCCCGGCUUCCCUUAUCCACAGCGCGAGGCCUGAGCGGAAGUGACGCAAGGGCCAGCCCUUUACGGAUCAGGAGGCACUUCCGGUACGGAGCACGCGAUUUCGGGACUGUCCGUACGCCGCCAUGACGGUGGGGACCGGAAGCAGAGCCUAUCAUCUCGCGAGAUCCCAAGCGGCCGUUGCAUCUGCGGUAUCGCGAGAGUCGGGGGUGGGGCUGAGUCCCGUGGGAUCGGGGCCGGGCGCGGCGGCGGCCAUCUCUCACCCGGGCGGCGGACCCGUUUCACGGGUGCCCUGGGUUGUGAAAUGUGGCUGUUGUCACUGAAGUGGUUGGCUUUAUUCUGUCACAGAACUUAAGCACACAUGCACACGGGGCUGGUGUUGAGUGCUUUCGUGGCACGGUCUCUGUGAUAGAGUUCUUUACAUCACCAUAUCCCUGCCCCAGGCUGCCUGGCGGCCGGAGCUGCAGGCGUUUAAUGAGCUAGAAUUAACCAGUUCAUCCGCUCCCCUGGGUUCAGGUGCCGGUUACUGAGGCGGCCAUUCCUCUCUGAAACGGAGGGAGCCCGCGCAGUAAAUUAAGCCAGGGCUCAGGAGGCAGAGCUUGUGACAAAUGGAGUUUCAUGCUAGAUGCAGGGCAGGGCAGUCAUUUUCAAAACAAUGACUUUCGUGAAUGGUGUUGGGUACCUUUAAUCCCAUCACUCAGGCCGGCCCCGGGCCACGCAGUGAAACUGUCUCAUAGUUAGACUGAAACAAACGACUUCAUACGUUCUCAUGACUGAAUGAUACAUUGUAGUUGUCUCUCCCCAUCAGGAGUAGCAAAAACUUCCUGUUACAAUUUCACAAAAAGGGUUAUCAUGGGAAAGAUUUGAUAUAUAUAUAUAUAUCACCAAGACCCAUUUCUAUCCAAAAGUGCGUUCAUGGUAAUAUGCCCCUACCCCUAGGAAACUCCACUGAAACCCUUCUGACAUGUGGACUUAUAUUCUGCCAGCUUAACUAGUCCAGGCUGACCAUCAUCCACCCUAAAAUUACAAGGAUACAAUUAGGACGUGGUUUUCCAGACUGAAAGGUUUUGUGUUAAACAGAUCUGGCCUUCUUGGAACUCCCUUCCUGGACCAGACUGGGUCAAGGGAUUAUUUUCAAGACAGGUCUGGGUAGCUGUGGCUGUCUAGAUCACUCUGUAGACCAACCAGACUGACCUGAAACCCACAAGGCCCUAGGGUCCCUGCCUUCCAACUACUGAGGUUAAAGGCUUGUGCCACACUGCCCAUCCCAUGGCUUUCCUUUCAGAGGGAAUAGAAAUAGUUGAAGGUGACUUGGAACCAUCCAUAUGUGUAGACCACUGUCACAAUUCUACAUCUAAACUCCUCACAACUGGGCAGCGACGUCUUCAAUCCUAUCAGAAGGCAACAAUCCACAUUUAAACUCCUCACAGGUGGUUAAGUGGUGGCGCACACCCCUAAACCCAUCCCUAGAUUUGAGACAGCCUGGUCUACAGAGUGGGCACCGCACAGCCAUGGGUACUGCAAAUAGAGGGGGGGUCCUGAUCAGAGAUGGAUGUGAUUCUUUAUUACAGCUGCCUGCACUGCCCAUGCUACUCAUACCUGGUAUAGGUUGGCAGGAAACGCCUAGUAUGUACAGGGUUUCCGUGAGGGUCACUAGUGCUAUUAAGUUGGGAUGCUUAUAGCCACCAAGAUUAAAGCCCUCUUGGGAAGAAAACUGA